GACGAACGCUGGCGGCGUGCUUAACACAUGCAAGUCGAACGGAAAGGCCCUGCUUGCAGGGUACUCGAGUGGCGAACGGGUGAGUAACACGUGGGUGAUCUGCCCUGCACUUCGGGAUAAGCUUGGGAAACUGGGUCUAAUACCGGAUAGGAGCCAUCUUUAGUGUGGUGGUUGGAAAGUUUUUUCGGUGUAGGAUGAGCUCGCGGCCUAUCAGCUUGUUGGUGGGGUAAUGGCCUACCAAGGCGGCGACGGGUAGCCGGCCUGAGAGGGUGUACGGCCACAUUGGGACUGAGAUACGGCCCAGACUCCUACGGAAGGCAGCAGUGGGGAAUAUUGCACAAUGGGCGCAAGCCUGAUGCAGCGACGCCGCGUGGGGGAUGAAGGCCUUCGGGUUGUAAACUCCUUUCGCUAGGGACGAAGCUUUUUUGUGACGGUACCUUGAUAAGAAGCACCGGCUAACUACGUG
rnacentral:rRNA from 1 species